GUGCAGACUUUUCCAGCGAGGCUCAGCCUGCAGUGGCUCUGACCUUUCCUGUAGUGUCUGCUAGAGGGACGUGAGGCUGUUUGAGGCCCUGCUGUGUCUCCUCACGGCAGGGUUAUAGGUAAACCUCCGACACUG